rnacentral:lncRNA from 1 species
GUACUCGUCCGUUGGAUGUACGUUCGACGUCCGUUCUGUCCGGUACGUAUCCGUUUCACGUACGUUCAAUGUCCGUUGUGUGUCCGUUAGGCAUUCGUUACAUGUCCGUUAGUACACCAACGGACUCCCAACGGAUAAAAAUUGUGUCAACGGAUAACUUUUUUUUUAUCCGUUAGGCGUCCGUUCGAGCUAUCCGGUAAGGUGUGACCGAGGCUUUAGU